UAACUGGAGAGUUUGAUCCUGGCUCAGAACGAACGCUGGCGGCGUGCCUAACACAUGCAAGUCGAACGAGAAAGUCCCUUCGGGGAUGAGUAAAGUGGCGCAAGGGUGAGUAAC
rnacentral:rRNA from 1 species